rnacentral:rRNA from 1 species
GUCCACGCCGUAACGAUGGAUACUAGAUGUUGGAGGAAUUGAUCCCUUCAGUGUCUACGCUAACGCAUUAAGUAUCCCGCCUGGGGAGUACGGUCGCAAGACUAAACUCAAAGGAAUAGACGGGGCCCGCACAAGCGGUGGAGCAUGUGGUUCAAUUCGACGCAACGCGAAGAACCUUACCUGGUCUUGACAUCCGGAGAACCCGCCAGAGAUGGUGGGGUGCCGUAAGGAACUCCGAGACAGGUGCUGCAUGGCUGUCGU